GUGGGGAAUAUUGCACAAUGGGGGAAACCCUGAUGCAGCGACGCCGCGUGAGUGAAGAAGUAUUUCGGUACGUAAAGCUCUAUCAGCAAGGAAGAAAAUGACGGUACUUGACUAAGAAGCCCCGGCUAACUACGUGCCAGCAGCCGCGGUAAUACGUAGGGGGCAAGCGUUAUCCGGAUUUACUGGGUGUAAAGGGAGCGUAGACGGUAUGGUAAGUCAGAUGUGAAAGCCCGGGGCUCAACCCCGGGACUGCAAUUGAAACUAUCAGACUAGAGUGCAGGAGAGGUAAGUGGAAUUCCUAGUGUAGCGGUGAAAUGCGUAGAUAUUAGGAGGAACACCAGUGGCGAAGGCGGCUUACUGGACAAUAACUGACGUUGAGGCUCGAAAGCGUGGGAAGCAAACAGGAUUAGAAACCCGAGUAGUCC
rnacentral:rRNA from 1 species